GGAAAAAGCAUUAUGAAUGAGGAUGGCCUGAAUCUACACAUUGACAAUGCAAGAAAGGCUGCACCAAAGCCAGAAACACUGUUUGGGUUUUCCUACGAUAUUGUACGAAAGGUUGCUGCUAAGUAUCCCAAACAUCCCUGGAUCUUGGCAUGAAAGUCAUUAGGUUCAAGUGCAGCGAACCAGACCAUAUUGUCAUGCG